UUCCAUGGCGGGCCAAGCGAGGCAGCCGCAAGGCUGGCCGGUUCCCCUCGUCAGACCGGUCUUUCCACCCUCGUCGACUGGCCCGCCGCCCUC
rnacentral:antisense_RNA from 1 species